GCCAAUGUGGUAUAGUGGUUUGAGCAUUAGACUACGAAUCUGGGAGACCAGGAUUUGAAUCCCUGCUUGGCCA